UCUACAAUGAAGUAUUAUCAUCUCUGAUUGGUUGAGUUGGAGCACCUGUGGUUGCUGGGAGCUUCGAGGCGAUUGAAGUCCCAGCUGACAACUAAUCAAUCAUCCUAACAAUUUAGUAGUUUUGUUAGCGUAAGGUUAAAAUUCUACAUCUACGUUGCAUUAGUAGUUUUCUUUUGUCUUGUUUUCCUCUCAUCCUCCGUGGAGAAACACCCACCCGACGCCAAUCAAGUGUUCCGGCUACACAUGAGGAAGUAGCGAACCACAGCAUCAAACAAGUGACUCGGGACUUCAAAGGGUAGCGACCAUCAUCUGGAGGUUUCCUACAGCCACACCGGGUGUUAAUUGAAUCCUGACGCGGCGAAAUUCCUUCCAAAAUGGCGCGUCUUCGUUGUGGAAAAUCUACUUGACCCCAGUACCACCGGAUGAAACCCACGGUGCCAGCAACAGUACUCGCGCCUGAGAUUGAGAACCAAUGGGCUAAGAUUGGAACUUCCGGGUUGUCAUGACGUCAUGAAGGGAAAAACCUCAUGGACAUGGAUCCGCUCCGAGCUAAACGAGACUGCACCAGCUUUGGAAGAAAACCUGAUGCGGCCCAGUCUCAACCAGACCCGAGCUCCAGUGGCCCCCAGGUAAAUUGAGUUUGAGACCCCUGGUACAAGUGAUAAACGUUGAUGACACCGCGGCG